rnacentral:rRNA from 1 species
CGGAGAAGGAGCAUGAGAAACGGCUACCACAUCUAAGGAAGGCAGCAGGCGCGCAAAUUACCCAAUGCCGAUACGGCGAGGUAGUGACAAGAAAUAACAAAGUAUACGGCUAUGUCGUUAUACCAUUGGAAUGAGUAGAAUUUAAAUCUCUUUUCGACUAUCGAUUGGAGGGCAAGUCUGGUGCCAGCAGCCGCGGUAAUUCCAGCUCCAAUAGCGUAUAUUAAAGUUGUUGCGGUUAAAAAGCUCGUAGUUGGAUUUCUGUACGAGAGCACCGGUCCGCAUUUUGUGCGUGUAUCUGGUAGAACUUGUGCAUCCUCUUAUUUUCAAAUCUGCGCUUCAUUGCGUGGUCUUGUGGAUAAGACUUUUACUUUGAGGAAAUUAGAGUGUUCACGGCAGGCAAGCGCCCUGAAUAUGUUAGCAUGGAAUAAUAAUAUAAGACUUCGGUUUUAUUUUGUUGGUUUCUAAAGCUGAAGUAAUGAUUAAUAGGAACAGUUGGGGACACUUGUAUAACUCGCUAGAGGUGGAAUUCUUGGAUUGAGUUACGACAAACUACUGCGAAAGCAUUUGUCAAGGAUGUUUUCAUUGAUCAAGAACGAAAGUGAGGGGAUCGAAGACGAUUAGAUACCGUCGUAGUCUUCACCAUAAACUAUGCCGACUAGGGAUAGGGCGUCGUUCUUUCUAUGACUCGCUCUGCACCUUAUGAGAAAUCAAAGUUUUUGGGUUCCGGGGGGAGUAUGGUCUCAAGUCUGAAACUUAAAGGAAUUAACGGAAGGGCCCCACCAGGAGCGGAGCCUGCGGCUUAAUUUGACUCAACACGGGAAAACUCACCAGGCUCAGACAUAGUAAGGAUGGACAGAAUGAUAGCUCUUUCUUGAUGCUAUGGGUGGCGGUGCAUGUCCGAUCUUAGUUAGUGGAGUGAUUGGUCAGGUUAAUUCCGUUAACGAACGAGAUCUUUACAUGCUAACUAGAACAUAGUCUCUUCGGAAACCUAGCUUUCUUAUUAGAGGGACCGUGUCAUUUUCAGGGCACGGAGGUUAGAGGCAAUAACAGGUCUGUGAUGCCAUUAGAUAUUCUGGGCUGCACGCGCGCUACACUGAUGCGUUCAACGAGUUUAUAACCUUAAACGAAAGGUACGUGUAAUGUUAUGAAAUCGCAUCGUGAUGGGGAUAGAUUAUUGUAAUUUUUAAUCUUGAACGAGGAAUUCAUAGUAAGUGUGAAUCAUCAGUUCGCGCUGAUUACGUCCCUGCCCUCUGUACACACCUCCCGUCGCUCGUACCGAUUGGGUGAUCCGGAGAAUAAUUCGGACCGGUAGCUUU